rfam:Schistosoma mansoni strain Puerto Rico chromosome 2, complete genome
AUCCAGCUAACGAGUCCUAAAUAGAACGAAACUCGCCUUGUCCUGGAU